rnacentral:rRNA from 1 species
AUUGAACGCUGGCGGCAUGCCUUACACAUGCAAGUCGAACGGUAACGCGGGGCAACCUGGCGACGAGUGGCGAACGGGUGAGUAAUGCAUCGGAACGUGCCCAGUAGUGGGGGAUAGCCCGGCGAAAGCCGGAUUAAUACCGCAUACGACCUACGGGUGAAAGCGGGGGACCGUAAGGCCUCGCGCUAUUGGAGCGGCCGAUGUCAGAUUAGGUUGUUGGUGGGGUAAAAGCCUACCAAGCCGACGAUCUGUAGCUGGACUGAGAGGACGACCAGCCACACUGGGACUGGGACACGGCCCAGACUCCUACGGGAGGCAGCAGUGGGGAAUUUUGGACAAUGGGGGCAACCCUGAUCCAGCCAUGCCGCGUGCGGGAAGAAGGCCUUCGGGUUGCAAACCGCUUUUGUCAGGGAAGAAACGCUCUGGGCUAAUACCCCGGGGUAAUGACGGUACCUGAAGAAUAAGCACCGGCUAACUACGUGCCAGCCGCCGCCGUAAUAC